CCCUUACUGAGAUUAUGGGGUUCUCCUGAAACUCAUAUUUGGGGCUAAAACUUCACUUCCCAAGGCCCACCUUGGGCUGGGAGCCUCCAAUCAGCACCGAGGGAGGCUUUAAGGAGGCUGCCUGCUGGAGGUUGUUUCCCCUGGGGAGGCCCUGGGGGUGAGGUCUUCUCCAGCUCGGGGUGGCUCUGAGCGUGUCACUCCGUGCUGGGUGAGUGUGGUCCCUCCACCAGCUGUGCCCGUCCUCACGACCACCGCCGUAACCCCGCGUCCCCUCCUGUAGAGCCGGCAGGUGACAAAGCCAUGGGGGUCUCGAGGGCCCGCGGGGAGAAGGACAGCAGCAAGCGGAAGCGAAAGAGUGAGGCAGAGAAGGGGCAGGAGGUGCUGAAGGCACCCCAGGGAAAGGCUGUGAAGAAGGAGCCAGAUGAAACCCCGUGCACAGUGCAGCUCCCCGUGCUGAAAGGGAGGAAGAAAUCUGCAAAAGUCAAGGAGAAAC